UGGGACUGAGACACGGCCCAGACUCCUACGGGAGGCAGCAGUAGGGAAUUUUCGGCAAUGGGGGAAACCCUGACCGAGCAACGCCGCGUGAGCGAAGAAGGCCUUCGGGUCGUAAAGCUCUGUUGUAAAGGAAGAACGGCGCAUACAGGAAAUGGUAUGCGAGUGACGGUACUUUACCAGAAAGCCACGGCUAACUACGUGCCAGCAGCCGCGGUAAUACGUAGGUGGCGAGCGUUAUCCGGAAUGAUUGGGCGUAAAGGGUGCGUAGGUGGCAGAUCAAGUCUGGAGUAAAAGGUAUGGGCUCAACCCGUACUGGCUCUGGAAACUGAUCAGCUAGAGAACAGAAGAGGACGGCGGAACUCCAUGUGUAGCGGUAAAAUGCGUAGAUAUAUGGAAGAACACCGGUGGCGAAGGCGGCCGUCUGGUCUGGAUUCUGACACUGAAGCACGAAAGCGUGGGGAGCAAAUAGGAUUAGAUACCCUAGUAGUCCACGCCGUAAACGAUGAGAACUAGGUGUUGGGGGAAUAACUCAGUGCCGCAGUUAACGCAGUAAGUUCUCCGCCUGGGGAGUAUGCACGCAAGUGUGAAACUCAAAGGAAUUGACGGGGGCCCGCACAAGCGGUGGAGUAUGUGGUUUAAUUCGAAGCAACGCGAAGAACCUUACCAGGCCUUGACAUCCCUUGCAGAGGUAUAGAGAUAUAUCCGAGGUUAUCAAGGAGACAGGUGGUGCAUGGUUGUCGUCAGCUCGUGUCGUGAGAUGUUGGGUUAAGUCCCGCAACGAGCGCAACCCUUGUGAUAUGUUACUAACAUUGAGUUGAGGACUCAUAUCAGACUGCCGGUGAUAAACCGGAGGAAGGUGGGGAUGACGUCAAAUCAUCAUGCCCCUUAUGGCCUGGGCUACACACGUACUACAAUGGCGUCUACAAAGAGCGGCAAGCCUGUGAAGGCAAGCGAAUCUCAUAAAGGACGUCUCAGUUCGGAUUGAAGUCUGCAACCCGACUUCAUGAAGCUGGAAUCGCUAGUAAUCGCGAAUCAGCAUGUCGCGGUGAAUACGUUCUCGGGCCUUGUACACACCGCCCGUCAAACCAUGGGAGUUGGUAAUGCCCGAAGCCGGUGGCAUAACCCUUCGGGGAGUGAGCCGUCGAAGGCAGGACCGAUGACUGGGGUUAAGUCGUAACAAGGUAUCCCUACGGGAACGUGGGGAUG
rnacentral:rRNA from 1 species